GAAGCACCGGCUAACUCCGUGCCAGCAGCCGCGGUAAUACGUAGGGUGCGAGCGUUAAUCGGAAUUACUGGGCGUAAAGCGUGCGCAGGCGGUUUUUUAAGACAGGCGUGAAAUCCCCGGGCUUAACCUGGGAACUGCGCUUGUGACUGGAAGGCUAGAGUACGGCAGAGGGGGGUGGAAUUCCACGUGUAGCAGUGAAAUGCGUAGAGAUGUGGAGGAACACCGAUGGCGAAGGCAGCCCCCUGGGCCGAUACUGACGCUCAUGCACGAAAGCGUGGGGAGCAAACAGGAUUAGAUACCCUGGUAGUCCACGCCCUAAACGAUGUCAACUAGUUGUUGGG
rnacentral:rRNA from 1 species